rnacentral:rRNA from 1 species
UGGGGAAUCUUGCACAAUGGAGGAAACUCUGAUGCAGCGACGCCGCGUGAGCGAUGAAGCCCUUCGGGUGUGAAAGCUCUUUCGGCAGGAACGAUAAUGACGGUACCUGAAGAAGAAGCUGCGGCUAACUACGUGCCAGCAGCCGCGGUAAUACGUAGGCAGCAAGCGUUGUUCGGAAUUACUGGGCGUAAAGAGUGUGUAGGCGGUGCUCUAAGUUCGGUGUGAAAUCUCCCGGCUCAACUGGGAGGGUGCGCCGAAAACUGGAAUGCUUGAACAUGGGAGAGGAAAGCGGAAUUCCUGGUGUAGCGGUGAAAUGCGUAGAUAUCAGGAGGAACACCUGCGGUUGUUAGACGGCUUUCUGGACCAUUGUUGACGCUGAGACACGAAAGCGUGGGUAGCAAACA